rnacentral:rRNA from 1 species
GUGUCAGCCGCCGCGGUAAUACAGAGGUGGCAAGCGUUGUUCGGAUUUAUUGGGCGUAAAGGGUCCGUAGGCGGCCUGGAAAGUUGGAUGUGAAAUCCCACAGCUUAACUGUGGAACUGCAUUCAAAACUUCUAGGCUCGAGUGUGAUAGGGGUAAAGGGAAUUCCCGGUGUAAGGGUGAAAUCUGCAGAGAUCGGGAGGAACACCAGUCGCGAAGGCGCUUUACUGGAUCACUACUGACGCUGAGGGACGAAAGCCAGGGGAGCAAACGGGAUUAGAAACCCUUGUAGUCC